rnacentral:tRNA from 1 species
GGUCCCGUAGCUCAGCUGGAUAGAGCGUCGGUUUCCUAAACCGCAGGCCGGAGGUUCGAAUCCUCUCGGGAUCACCA